UUUCUGUAAGAGCUAUGAUUACUAGGAUUGAUGCUACGACUGGUAAGAAUUAACGGAGCCUGAGAAGCGGUUACUAUGUCCAAGAAAGGCAGCAGGAGCGUAAAUUACCCACUUCCAGAACGGGGAGGUAGUGACGAAAAAUAACAAUAUGGGACACUUUUGAGACCCCGUGAUUGGAAUGACGAUCAAUUGGAAGGUAAGUCUGGUGCCAACAGCCGCAGUAAUUCCAGAUCCAAUAGCAUAUGUUAAAGUUAUUGCUGUCGCCCAGACGGUAUAGUGGUUAAGGGAGCCUACUAAGGUACCGAAGGGCCCGGGUUCGAAUACUGGAGAAGACAUGGAUGUUUCUAAAUGUAUGGUGUCGGUGAGGCAUGGCGGCACUUUAAACAUGCGACGAGCUGAAAGUCCUUUCGUGUGGAUUGGUGGGAGAGGAAAGGGGUGAAGCACCUCAGGAUCCUUCCCGGGGUGCUCUCCCUGAAAAUUGGGGGUGGAAAAUAGAAGUUCAACCUCUCUUCGGACUAGGUUCUGGCAACCAUUGUUCCAUGUGAUAAUGGACACGACAACAACAAAGUUGUUGCUAUUAGAAAGCUCAUACUUGGAUUUCAGUUCCAGACGAGCGGUUCGCCUACCGGUAGUUACUCCCUGUUCUGAACAGCCAUACAGUUUCCUUUGUUGAUCUUCACCGGUUGUCUUGGGUCGACGGCAAGUUCACUAUUAGAGUGCUCAGAGCAGGUGUGACGCCUGAACGAUGGUGCAUGGAAUAAUGGAAUAGGACCUCGGUUCUAAUUUGUUGGUUUUCGGAAUACGAGGUAACGAUUAAGGGAGCAGACGAGGACAUUCGUAUUGUGAGGCUAGAGGUGAAAUUCUUGGGAAGUCACAAAGUUCUCCAUCUUUCUGCUGAUUUCAUAGAAUGAUACAGGACGACGGAUUCACGUCUA
rnacentral:ncRNA from 1 species